CCUACGGGGGGCAGCAGUGGGGGAUAUUGCACAAUGGGGGGAACCCUGAUGCAGCGACGCCGCGUGGGUGAAGGAGCGUUUCGGCGCGUAAAGCCCUAUCGGCAGGGACGAAGAUGACGGUACCUGGCCAAGAAGCCCCGGCUAACUACGUGCCAGCAGCCGGGGUUAUACGGAGGGGGCAAGCGUUAUCCGGAUUUACUGGGUGUAAAGGGGGCGCAGACGGGAAUGCAAGCCAGGAGGGAAAGCCCCGGGCCCAACCCCGGGAGUGACCUUGGAACUGCAUGGCUGGAGUAAAGGAGGGGUAGGCGGAAUUCCUGGUGUAGCGGUGAAAUGCGUAGAUAUUAGGAAGAACACCGAUGGCGAAGGCAGCCUGCUGGACUGUGACUGACGUUGAGGCCCGAAGGCGUGGGGAGCAAACAGGAUUAGAUACCCCUGUAGUC
rnacentral:rRNA from 1 species